AACACCUUUUAAAAAAACUUUUUUAGAAACUUUUACAGAAAAUAAAUCCUCUGAAAUAAACACACUGAACUCUACAAAUAUGCAGCAGCUUUGUGGUCAAAUAUAACACAUUUCAUUAUUUUUUGUUGCAAAAAAAAAAGAAAAAAAAAAAAAAAAGAAGUUCCUUCCAUCAAACUAAUAUUGAGCAAAACAUUUAAGAAAGUUGUUAUGCUAAUGUGACCAGAGGAUAAAAUCCCAGGCAGUACAAAUUAUUACAUUCAAUUCCCCUAAAACACCGGGACUUGUACUUCUGUCAGAUCCUGUUCUAAUCACAUCAACUGUUACAGAACCUUCUGUUUGCUAACUCACCACAAACCGGGUCAAUAGGUCCCGACCUGACCGACGUCACGUCUUUAACGUUACCGAACAGGUCUAAACGCCAACCAGGUGUGCUAAAGACACAACGGCGCCACAACAAAGAAUCUACUCUCUAAAUAUCAACAGUAAACCGGCGCAGAAGCUAACACUUAGCGGUACUUUUUUGGCUAGCGGCACGGCUAAUGUUCGAGGACGAACCUCCGUUUGGAGGCUCCUGCCGUCACUUCUCGCUCUGACGGGGGUCUGCGGGACCCCCCGGGAUUUACGGCUUCUGUGCGUGAUCAGCCGGCACGCACGAGCUUGAGAAAACUUUGAACGUCUUACCUUUGAACUCGACUCCAGCUUCUGCACCUCGACAUUGCAGCUCAACCUAUGAGCUGCAGGACACCAUCCACACCCUGAAAGAGGAAAACCUCCACCUGCAACACCGGCUGGAGAACCUGACCCGAGCUCUCAGAGACCUCAGACACUUGCUGACUGAGCAUCCUGGAGCCUCUGGAGGAGUACAUGACCCUGAAUAUCUGCACGCCUGGAGGGAAUGGACUCAACACGGAAUGAGUGUUGAGACUCAGCAGAUGCUGGAGCAGGCCUUGUGUUUCAACGACCUCAGUGAUGCGGCUCAAACCCUCUUCAACCCUCCAGGGUUUUUCAUCCUCUUUUCUGUGGCUUCUGUUACCGUCACAAUGUUGUCUUGACUUUAGCUUAGAAAGCAAACAUUGACACUGCAGUGAACCUAGGAUUUGUUGCUGUUUAUAACAUUUUAUUUCAGAUUUUUCUGUUUAGUUUUCCUGAUGAAAAAGGACGUUUAUUUGUAC
rnacentral:lncRNA from 1 species